GGAUGAACGCUAGCUACAGGCUUAACACAUGCAAGUCGAGGGGCAGCAUUUCAGUUUGCUUGCAAACUGGAGAUGGCGACCGGCGCACGGGUGAGUAACACGUAUCCAACCUGCCGAUAACUCGGGGAUAGCCUUUCGAAAGAAAGAUUAAUACCCGAUGGUAUAAUCAGACCGCAUGGUCUUGUUAUUAAAGAAUUUCGGUUAUCGAUGGGGAUGCGUUCCAUUAGGCAGUUGGUGAGGUAACGGCUCACCAAACCUUCGAUGGAUAGGGGUUCUGAGAGGAAGGUCCCCCACAUUGGAACUGAGACACGGUCCAAACUCCUACGGGAGGCAGCAGUGAGGAAUAUUGGUCAAUGGGCGCAGGCCUGAACCAGCCAAGUAGCGUGAAGGAUGACUGCCCUAUGGGUUGUAAACUUCUUUUAUAUGGGAAUAAAGUUUUCCACGUGUGGAAUUUUGUAUGUACCAUAUGAAUAAGGAUCGGCUAACUCCGUGCCAGCAGCCGCGGUAAUACGGAGGAUCCGAGCGUUAUCCGGAUUUAUUGGGUUUAAAGGGAGCGUAGGUGGACAGUUAAGUCAGUUGUGAAAGUUUGCGGCUCAACCGUAAAAUUGCAGUUGAUACUGGCUGUCUUGAGUACAGUAGAGGUGGGCGGAAUUCGUGGUGUAGCGGUGAAAUGCUUAGAUAUCACGAAGAACUCCGAUUGCGAAGGUAGCUCACUGGACUGCAACUGACACUGAUGCUCGAAAGUGUGGGUAUCAAACAGGAUUAGAUACCCUGGUAGUCCACACAGUAAACGAUGAAUACUCGCUGUUUGCGAUAUACAGUAAGCGGCCAAGCGAAAGCAUUAAGUAUUCCACCUGGGGAGUACGCCGGCAACGGUGAAACUCAAAGGAAUUGACGGGGGCCCGCACAAGCGGAGGAACAUGUGGUUUAAUUCGAUGAUACGCGAGGAACCUUACCCGGGCUUAAAUUGCAUUUGAAUAUAUUGGAAACAGUAUAGCCGUAAGGCAAAUGUGAAGGUGCUGCAUGGUUGUCGUCAGCUCGUGCCGUGAGGUGUCGGCUUAAGUGCCAUAACGAGCGCAACCCUUAUCUUUAGUUACUAACAGGUCAUGCUGAGGACUCUAGAGAGACUGCCGUCGUAAGAUGUGAGGAAGGUGGGGAUGACGUCAAAUCAGCACGGCCCUUACGUCCGGGGCUACACACGUGUUACAAUGGGGGGUACAGAAGGCAGCUACCUGGUGACAGGAUGCUAAUCCCAAAAGCCUCUCUCAGUUCGGAUCGAAGUCUGCAACCCGACUUCGUGAAGCUGGAUUCGCUAGUAAUCGCGCAUCAGCCAUGGCGCGGUGAAUACGUUCCCGGGCCUUGUACACACCGCCCGUCAAGCCAUGAAAGCCGGGGGUACCUGAAGUACGUAACCGCAAGGAGCGUCCUAGGGUAAAA
rnacentral:rRNA from 1 species